GGUCGGGGCCUUAUAAGGGGUGGUAAGAGAGUAUAGGAUAUUACAAUGGACAAUCCGCAGCGAAUACCCUACCGGCGAGAGCCUAUGGGUACCGUUCACAGACUAAGUGAUUGUGGGAGGGGGGCUAGUGUACCCCUUCUAAGAUAUAGUCGGCCUCUGUCCUAAUAGAUAGAGCUAGCGUGUCCGUAGGUGAACCUGCGGAAGGAUCAUUA
rnacentral:rRNA from 1 species